AACAGGCGUUGAAACAUACCGUAGACAGUAGGUGCGUGAUUCGCUUAAUUUCCUACCGAGGUAAGCAAAUAGAUGAAAGUCUUUUGACUGGACUCGUAUGCCCUCAUGUCUGCAUGGGGGCAUUUUCGUUGGCCUC
rfam:Bacillus halodurans C-125 DNA, complete genome.